UUUUUUUUUCCUUUUGCAAAGAGUUAUUUCAUUCAUCAGAAUCUGAAUGUCAGCAGAAACUACAAAACCCAAGGAGACCAAUAUGUCAACAUUUACAUGUAGAAAAAUGUUAUGGGGAUUAGUAACUAGGGGCCAAAUUUAAUGUGCUAUUAAAAAUUAUUUUAUUGACGGAUAGUUGACUUACAAUGUUGUUAAUUUUUGCUCUACAGUAACAUGACUCAGUUACACACACAUACACACGUUCUUUUCCAUAUUCUUUUCCAUGAUGUUUUAUCACAGAACAUUGAAUAUACUUCUCUGUGCCAUUGUAAAAAGUUGCCCUCCUGCAUAAUUUAACCUGGAAAUUAAAUGCAACUGAGGGUUCAUACCACCAGCUCACAAUAGGUUUCUCAAAAGACGCAGCUCUUCCUCUCUAAGGCACAGAGAAUGAGGGUCACUGACUACUGACCCAGGGGCUUCAUGUACCAUGUACAUAAACAGAGCAGUCUCAAUACACCACCCCCUCCUCUUUUGGCCAUACUCCCACAGCAUGUGGAAGUGCCUGGGUGGGCAACUGAACCCAUGCCGCAGCAGUGAGCUGAGCCACAGCAGUGACAGUGCCAGCUCCGUAACCCAAUAGGUCACCAAGGAACUCCUUCAACGCAUUUCUUAGCGGCCAGAAGAACUGGCAAUAGAAAAGGCAAGUGCUUACGUCAUAGUUACAGCUGAUUUAUAAUUUCUGCAACAAAUCCAGGGACAGAGUGGGCCCCCACUUCAAAAUAACCUUAUCUUCUCUGGUGAUAAUACACUUGGCUUCUGGCAGACCUGUUCAAAGUGAAGCACUUUGGAAGUCUCAUCCUUGCAUUGGAUCUGCUGUAUUAAUAUUUUGUUCUACCUCCUAUUUGUAGAAGGCUUAACAUAUUCGAACAAUAUGAGGCAAAAUAAAGACGGAAAACUGGUGAUAUUUUGAGACAAUUUAAGAUAGUAGCAAAUACACAGAGGCAGUUGUGUAGCGAGGGUAACAUUUUAAAAAGAGCAAGAGAACAGUAUUAAAUUAGAGCACUGUUGCUACGUUUUACUGUGGCUAUGUGUAGGCAACAUUUACAAGUCUUACACUGAUAACUAAUAGGUGCAAAAUAUUUACCAUGAUUCAGUUUUAAUUUUUAGUUUGUAAGCCUUUUUUUUUUUUUUUUCAUCGUUUAAAAGUACAAUGUCACGUAAGGUUGUUUUACUUCAGUUUGAUCUGGAUUAAGAAUACUUAUGAGGAGUUCCCACUGUGGCACAGUGGAAAUGAAUCCAACUGGUAUCUAUGAGGACAUGGCUUUGAUCCCUGGCCUCACCCAGUGGGUCAGGGAUCUGGCAUUGCUAUGGGUUGUGGUGUAUGUUUCAGACCUGGCUCAGAUCCCAUGUUGCCAUGGCUGUGGUGUAGGCUGGCAGUUGUAGUUCUGACUGGACCCUUAGACUGGGAAAUUCCAUAUGCCACAGGUAUGGCCCUAAAAAGCAAAUAAAUAAAUAAAUAGGAACACUUAUGAGUUAAAGGGGUUCUGGCCCUAAGGAAUGCUGCUUUGAACAUAAUACCAGAAAUAUUUUUGCAGGUAUAUCAUUGUUUUUCCGGCCAGCACAGUAAUAUCAUCACUAGCUUAGUAUCUUCAUGUACAGCAGGGGGGCUCAACAUAACCUUAGUUUAUUCAUUUAAAUCAACACAUAUGAUGACUUUUACCCAAGGCUUCAGUUUGGGGGCACUUCCUUCCUCAUUUCUUAUGUCCUAUGAAGAAGGACUUCAUAAUUAUUUUAAUUAUUCUCGGGCUUAUCUCUUCCCAGUUUAUCACUACAAGUCCCCUAAAUCACAGUGGGUUUUUUGGCAAUAUUGGCACAGUUGCAUCAACUAGAGUUUUCCUGGCUUCAAGUACAAAAAAAACUAUUCAUUUCCUGUGGAUUCUACCACAGCCACUCCAACCUCUGGUCACAAAUGGUUGUAUAUGUUGAUGUGUUUUACAAAUAUAGAGAGAUUCUCCAUCCAAAGUUAAACAACUCUAUCUUCCAGAGUCUAGGCUUGGGCAGCCCUGGAGCAAAUUAAAGGCUUAAAUAUUUGGCAGAUGAUGAAAGAAACAUCCCUUUAUUAUUAAUCUUAUGAUUAAAAAAACCUACUUCUUUUUCCUGUGAUUUUAAGUUCUUAUGAUAGACUGCUUAUAUUUAAAAAUGACUUUAAUAUUAACAAUACAGGAGUUCCUGUCAUGGUGCAGCAAAAAGGAAUCCAACUAGGACCUGUGACGUUGCAGGUUCAAUCCCUGACCUCACUCAGUGGGUUAAGGAUCCGGCACUGCUGCGAGCCGUGCUGUGGGUCACAGAUGUGGCUAGGAUUCUGCAUUGCUGUGGCUGUAGCUCCAAUUAGACCCCUAGCCUGGGAACCUCCACAUGCUGCAGGUGUGGCCCUAAAGAGCAAAAAAAAUAAAAAUAAAUAAAAAUAAAAUUAAAUCAACAAUACAGUAUUUGCACAAAGGCAGAAUUUAAAAUGUACUCCCUAUCUUUUUUAAAAUCGAAGUGUAGUUGAUUUACAGUAUCGUGUUAGUUUCACAUGUCCAGUACAGUGAUUCAGUUGGCUGUAUCACACACUCACACUCACAUACAUACAUAUAUUCUCUUUCAGAUUCUUUUCCACUAUAGGUUAUUACAAGAUAUUGACUAUAGUUCCCUGUACUAUCAAGUACAUCCUUAUUGUUUAUUUUAUAUAUGGACAGGGUAUCUGUUAAUCCCAUAUCCUCACUUUAUUCUUCCCAGCCUUCCCUGUCGGUAACCAUGGUUUUGUUUUCUAUGUCUAUGGGUCUGUUUCUGAUUUGUAAAUAAGUUCAUUUGUAUUACGUUUUUUUAGAUUCUAUAUACAAGUGAUAUGAUAUUUUAUAACAAAUAUCUUCUUUUUUCUUUUUUUUUUACGGCUGUACCCACGGGCACAUGGAAGUUCCCAGACUGGCGGUCAAAUCAGAGCUACAGCUUCUGGCCUACAGCACAGCCACAGCAACACCAGAUCUGAGCUGCAGCUACAACCUACACCACGACUCAUGGCAACAUCAGAUCCUUAAAUCACUGAGCAAGGCCAGAGAUCAAACCCGCAUCCUCAUUGAUACUAGUCAGGUCUGUUACUGCUGAGCCACAAUGGGAACACCACAAAUAUCUUUUUGUAUUUAUAUUCAUCAACUUUGUCUAUUUUGAUGAUGAUUUAAACGCAAGUGCAGGAAAUACAACUUGAAUUGGUAAAAAUACAGCUUAUCUGGAAAUAGAAAUGUGAUAUGCCUUUGAUUUGUUGCAGUUUAUAUCAUUUGUCAACCUCUGAUAAAAACAUGACUGACCCUUGGCUUUUGGUAGGCUCAGUUUGUUCAAUGGCUUAUAGUUACCAUUUCCCCAUCACUUAAAUUUCCAAUAUCGGCAAGGAGAAGUUCCUUCAGUUUACAGCUCCACACACUUUUUUUUGGUGUGUGUGUGUGUGUUUCUGCCAUUUCUAGGGCUGCUCCCGUGGCAUAUGGAGGUUCCCAGGCUAGGGGUCCAAUCAGAGCUGUAGCCUCCGGCCUACGCCAGAGCCACAGCAACGCAGGAUCUGAGCCGCGUCUGCAACCUACACCACAGCUCACGGCAACGCCGGAUCCUUAACCCACUGAGCAGGGGCAGGGACCGAACCCGCAACCUCAUGGCUCCUAGUCGGAUUCGUUAACCACUGCGCCAUGACGGGAACUCCCCUCCACACACUUUUGAAAGUAUCUCUGCUCUCCAGCAAAAUAAAACAAAACAAACAACAAAACAAAUACCAAAAAAAAAAAAAAAAAAAAAAAAAAAAUCCCAAAACAACUCUCACCCACAAAAAACAGUUCUAAAACCAACAAAAUGUUUUCCUUAUCCCCAUCAUAGCAUCCAGUUAGGUUUCAGCAGGUCUUGGUACUGUGGAAAGUAGUAUUAGAGACAAAAUUGGGGUAUGUGGGGUGCCUAUUAGCUUGUUUCAUAUAAACACUGGGUGGAAGCCAAGAGGUAACUAUUACCUUAUUUUGAACAGGUCAGGAAAAUUAUAUUUGGUUUAGACUUAAUAAAGAUAAGUUCAUAAAGAAGGCUCAAAGUGAACUCUUUGGUCUUGAUGUGAAUAAUUUAAAUUAGUUUCUUUUUUUAAAAUUACCAUCUUUAAUAUUUAUAGACACGCAAAAAUUACCACACCAAUCCAUUUGUUUGAAUUAUAAUACCACUGAAAGCACUAAGAAUCUCAUUUUUAAAACAUAAUUACAUUUUUCCAAGUAUAUCACUCAAUAAUAAUCACAAUAUAUUAUUUCACCAUUGGCUACCAAACAAAUGCCCUUUUCCCCCUAACCAAGUAAACAUGGGUAGAACCCGUGUUCAUCUGUUAGACAGUAUCACUAUUAUUUUUAAUCAGAGGCAGUUUUAGGGUUUAGCUCCAAUAUUCAAAUAUCUUUAGAGAAACGCAAAGGUAUUUAUUACCUUGAUAUUAUAACAACUAAGUUUCCAAAAAAGCUAUUAAGAAUGUCAAUGAACAAAAUUAAUAUCACAUUAAUAUAAACUUAGUGUUGAGAAUUGUCAAAAGCAUAAAAUACUACAUAACCCAAAUUUCAAGUGUGACAAUUUCUUACAUCAAUAUUAACUUUUAGAAAAAUCAAGUCAUAAAAGAUGGCAAAACAUAUUGUUUAUUAGCACUUCAGUUACAGUUCUUCGUUCACAUUAUUAUAUUUACAUACCCCUCAACCAAUCCAGGUAUUGGUAUACCUUAUAGUUUGUUACAUAAAUAGAAAUAUGAAUUAUUUAUAAGGUUACAGUCACUGAAAGCUUUAAUCGCUUUGGCUUUAUUAUAAUCUAACUUUUAGAAAGAUUAAAAUACGUCAUGCCCGUAUCUCCUUUUUGGUAUCUUGAGGUAACUGUAUAGUUGACACAGGAACAAAGUAAAAUUACAUUUAAAGACUUAAAAUUCGUAGAAAAACCUUUGGGUUAUUAGUAAGUAUUUUCCAAUUGGUAACAUCAAGUAAAGGUAUACUCAUACUGAGAAAUUAUUAUUUUGUUUUUAUCAGAUUAUUAUAUAUCAUAUUCAAAAUAUUUAAGGCAAAACUCCUCAUCUUUAAGUUUUAAAAUUUAAUUUAACCAGAUCAAUAUGAAAAAAAAAAAACAACACAUGGCUAAUAACAACCACGAAAAUAUAACAAGACUAGUGAGAGAG
ensembl:lncRNA